rnacentral:tRNA from 2 species
CAAAGAGUAGUUUAAUUAAGAAUACUAGCUUUGGGAGUUAGUGGUAGGGGUUAGAAUCCCUUCUCUUUGA